rnacentral:lncRNA from 1 species
AUGCGGUUCCGAUGCUGCCACCACCGGAGAAGACAACGUAUUAUCCUGGGGAGGUAUCCUUGCCCUUAUCGCCCCAUUCCUCCAUCCCGCAGGGUGGCAAAGAUAACCCGCCCCUGCUCCAGGAUGGCCUGGCAGAAGACCUGGUGUCCUGAGGAGAGCAGCUUUCCGCUGGAUUCCUUGGAUUUCCAGCCACUGAAUCCCAAUGCCUGGUCGUGGGAUCUUGGCAAAGAGGAAGCCAAGAAAUUCAUCGAGAUAUUCGUCAGCAGCACAAAGAAGGAUGAGGAAAAGAAAAUGAAGUUCCUGGAGAGCAUCUGCACCCUGUGCAGACAGUAUUCCUUGUUGGAGGACAUGGAUGCCUUCUGCCACAAAACCGAGCUGGCAGAGAACAUCAAGGUUUUGCUGGAAGAGGAGCCCACGGACAGUUUGCACACAGCAUUUCGUAGGAAUGCCAUGGAGACUCUCACCAUCCUCAGCUCCACUGCGAAGGCAGCACUGGAUGGCAAAAAGGAGAGUCUCCUGCAUGCCUGCUUCAAGAGUGUCUUCUUUCUGCCUCCCUAUUUGGACAUGUCAGCGGUAGAAAAAGAUCUCUACAACAAGACCAUGAACGCCAUGGAAAUCAUGCUGCAGGCCUUUGUACGCAACUGUCCAAUCUCCAGUGUCGGCGAGGAGCUGCAGAUUAUUUGGCAGGUGCUGCUGCACUACGCCACCUCCCAUAACACCGCUGUGCGCAAGAUCGCCCUGCAGAAGAUUGAGAGGCUGAGUGAUUUCCUGGUCACAUAUCUGGGGAAGGUAAGAUGCCAGGAACCCUUCAGGCAGCCUGUCUCCCCUUCCCUGCAUUCCAGAGCAUCCUGCAGCUCAGGGGUGCCUGUGCAGCAAGCCCGAGCACAGGUGGGGGCCUCAGCACAGCUCUGCCCUGAAGCAAGGGUCUUUGUCCCUCCUUUGCCCCUGCUCUUCCUUCCCCAGGCCCUGCUCUCUGCCUCCACUUAACCCUUCUUCUCUCCUCCCUCCCUUGCCCAGACCUCGUUCACUGCUGGACAAUGCGAGGGCAGCCCGGGCACCCACAAAGAGGUCCACAUCCCCAUCCUGGGACAGCUGCUGGGCCACCUCUUCAUUUCCAGCUGUGGCACAGAUCCCACCAGAUACAGAGUUUUGGAUGCUCUUUAUCACUUCUACGCAUUCCUCAAAGAUGGAAGAGGUAAGAGAAGGUGUGGUGGGCAGCGUCCGUCUGCACACAGACAUCUGCUGGUAUGUCUGCUUCUUUUCCCCGAGUAUUGUGAAGGAUUGUUCUU